rnacentral:lncRNA from 1 species
GCCAGGCACAAUCAAAGCAGCAUAUGGAGAGUUUUUAUGGAGCCAUGUCUCUGAAAGGCAGAGGAAGUCAAGGUUGGAGUCUGUGAGAAGAUGUUGAAUUUGAUCACUUUUUGGAAUGACACUACGAAUGUUCAAGUGCCCUCCUAGUAUUCCCUUGGGCUUAGCUUGUGGGUCCCAGAUAACUCGAGAGUAAUUGACACAUUUAAAAAAGUUACAUUUUCUGUGUUUUCUGACGGCUGGGUUUAGUUUUGUUUAGGGGCAGUUCGGUAGCGCAAUUAACAAUCCCUCCCGCUUGCACUGGAUGUGAGGAACUAAUUAAAACAGCUUGCGUACCAGAAGCAGAGUCACGGAUUGCAUAUAGCGACUUGGGUAUGUUUGAAGAAUCAAAUUCCAUCCUGGAGCCGGGUGAGUCGAGAGAAACCAUGGGACCAUAGCACUUACCCACUUCCGCAGCGGCGACGAUCAGUGGACGAGGCCAUCCACUGCUUUCCACUCUGAGAGAAGCAAUGGGGUUCCAGACUCUGAGAAGGAUGAUGAUGGUGGCCCAGUUUCCAAUCAGUCCCAACUGUCCACAGAUUACAGGUUAUGAGAAUCAACUGUCUGAAGCUGAAGCAAUAUUCCUUGACCCAAGGACUGUACUUGAAAUGAUACAAGAUCACCGGUGAAGUGUUCAUUAGAGAAGUCCUUAUCAACCAUUGGAACGUAAGAAGAAUUCCU